rnacentral:rRNA from 1 species
UACGUAGGGGGCUAGCGUUGUCCGGAAUCAUUGGGCGUAAAGAGCGUGUAGGCGGUCCGGUAAGUCCGCUGUGAAAGUCGGGGGCCCAACCCUCGAAUGCCGGUGGAUACUGUCGGGCUAGAGUGCGGAAGAGGCGAGUGGAAUUCCUGGUGUAGCGGUGAAAUGCGCAGAUAUCAGGAGGAACACCUAUUGCGAAGGCAGCUCGCUGGGACGUAACUGACGCUGAGACGCGAAAGCGUGGGGAGCAAACAGG